AUUGAACGCUGGCGGCAUGCCUUACACAUGCAAGUCGAACGGUAACAGGUCUUCGGAUGCUGACGAGUGGCGAACGGGUGAGUAAUACAUCGGAACGUGCCUAGUAGUGGGGGAUAACUACUCGAAAGAGUGGCUAAUACCGCAUGAGAUCUAUGGAUGAAAGCAGGGGAUCGCAAGACCUUGUGCUACUAGAGCGGCCGAUGGCAGAUUAGGUAGUUGGUGGGAUAAAAGCUUACCAAGCCGACGAUCUGUAGCUGGUCUGAGAGGACGAUCCGCCACACUGGGACUGAGGAACGGCACAGACUCCUACGGGAGGCAGCAGUGGGGAAUUUUGGACAAUGGGCGCAAGCCUGAUCCAGCAAUGCCGCGUGCAGGAUGAAGGCCUUCGGGUUGUAAACUGCUUUUGUACGGAACGAAAAGCCCUGGGUUAAUACCCUGGGGUCAUGACGGUACCGUAAGAAUAAGCACCGGCUAACUACGUGCCAGCCGCCGCCGUAACAC
rnacentral:rRNA from 1 species